CUAUUUUAAACUUUUUCUGUUUCAGAGAGAGCACCCUGCUAACUGGAGGAUCCAAGUUUAAAAAGGACCCCCAGAGAAACACGUGUGGCUUGAGACAUCCUGUGUAAUCCAAUAAAUAUCCCCCCCUACCCUAUCUCCACCUUUGCUGGCUAAAGCAAAUGCAAGAGUCAGGGAGGGGAAGGAGUUAUUUUCAAGCAUUUUUAUGUUGUCUUGUGCAGACUGCACAUGUGGGAGAGUUCAUGCACUUUCUCCCAGAAGUGACUUGCAACUUUUACUUUACGAGCAGUUCCAACAAGUGUGACUAUCUAGUUGCCGUAACUAUAGCAGAUCAAAAUCCACAGCUCGUGGGCAGAGUAGAGCGUGCAGAGUAAGUUCGGGAUUAAGAGCACAGAUUCUGGAGUCAAACUACAGAUUUGAAUUUUGGCUCUGCCACUUCCCAACUAUAUAACUCUAAAGGAAAUCCUUCACCUUUUGCCUUGAUUUCCUCCUCUGUAAAUGGGAAUAAUGAAAGUACCUAUUUCACACAGUUGUCAAAAGGAUUAAAUGAGAUAAAGUAACUGCGACAGUAAGUACUAUAUGAGUAUCAAGUGGAGUGGGUACAUGAUAACACUUCUUAUGAAAAGUAAAAAAAAAAUAACUUUUUUUUUUGGUCUUCUAUUACCUAGCUUGAACGUAUUGUGUUAUAAUUACUCAUUUAUGAAUCUUCUCCCUCACCGGAUUUUAUGGUCCUCCUUCAUAGCCAGAGCCACAUCUUAUUUUCACAGCAUCUAUCACACUACUUGUCCUUCAAUAAAUGUUUUGAUGAAUGGAGGAAUAAUAAUCUCAUACGUACACAGUGCUUAGUUCUAGGCUCCGUUCCAAUGCUUUACAAAUAUUAACUCGUUUAAUCUUGAUGACAAUCCCAGGAAGUAUUAUUAUCAUCUCUAAUUUACAGAUAAGGUAAAUGACCUUUUGUAAUGUGUCUAGGUCACCUCAGCUACUAACUGUCAGACCCAGGAUUCAAAUCUAAGUAGCUGGUGUCAGAAACCUGGCUUUUAACCGGCCAAGUACAAGGCCUCCCAGAGGACAAGAGGAGCAACAAUCACACACCAACUUGGCUUUUCCAAAAGUCUCAUUUCCUGAGGUGAAGGAGCCAUUCGUCCAACAAAUGUUUACAUAGUGCUUUUCGUGUGUGCACCAUCAUGUGAAACACUGAUCUCUAACUGCUCCCCACUUCCUCCCACCACCCCUCCACUCAGUUGCUGCUUCCUGCCCUCAAACUCCACUGCUCUGUGACCUUCUUUCACUUUCUUUAAUGUGUUAUGCUCUCUCUGGAACUGUGACUACCGCUUUGCCCUGCUAACUCAUGCUUAUCCUUCAGUUUUCGGCUUAAAUUACUUCUUUCUGAAAGCCUUCCGUCACCCCCUCAAGUCGGUGAGGUGCCCCUGCGCCGGGCUCCUCAGGGCACCGUGCACUUUCCUUAUCAUAGCCUUUCCCAUACUUACCCACCGUCGCUGCCCAUUUACUGUCGCCGUCUGCACUAGACUUGAAACUCUGUGAGAGCAAGGGGGGAAGGGGACGGUGUGGCAGAGGCUUAAAGGAUGAGUGAAAGAUUAUACAAAGGAAAGGAAGACGUCAUGGAGAUCUGACUCUCUUUUGAAGAACACAGGAGAUUAAUAUUGAACAGCCAACCACUCAAGUCCUCUUUUAACAGCUCUUUGUGAAUGAUACCUGCAUAUUGUCCAGCUGGAUCAACAUGCCUUAGAUUAUUCUCUAGAGCCCGAUGACAAACAGUGGGACAUCCUCAAAAAGACUGGGAAUAAGGUCAUCCUGGAAACAAAAUCCACUCUCCAUAAAUGAAAAGAACCAUCUGUAACUGAGCCUGCAUGUAAAAGUGAGUCCAAGAGGUUUGGGAGUGCUCAGGAUUCUCACCAAGACACCAAGGUAAUCUAGAACGGUUCUCAAAGCUGCAGGCCUGGAAACUGACUAUAAUUAAUGAUUGGAAACCAUAUCAUUUGUAAUAAAUACAUCCUGUUUUGAGAACAUCUGUGUGAAUAGAAAGAGGAGAGUGGUCACCACGGAACCUUGAAAAGGGAAAGGCACCGGUGUCUCUCCAGGCACCGCCCAGGGAUGAGAAGUCGAAGCAAAGCAAUGUUAACAUCAUGAUGUUGACAAGACAUAGAAAGCAGCCUUUGCCGCAUGUUAGACUUGCCUCUGCCACUUUUAGCCUUUUUUUGUUGUUGUUUUGUUUUGUUAGGGCUGCACCCAUGGCAUAUGGAAGUUCCUGGGCUAGGGGUUGAAUUGGAGCUGCAGCUGCCGGCCUACACCACAGCCACAGCAAUGCAGGAUCCUUAACUCACUGAGUGAGGCCAGGGAUUGAACCUCAUCCUCAUGGAUGCUAGUCAGAUUCGUUUCCACUGAGCCACGAUGAGAACUCCCUCAGCCACUUUCAAAGUAAAAGUCCUAUUUGAACUUUGCUGUGACCAACUGAAUCAGAAUCUCAGAGAGCGGCCCAAGCACAAGCGCUUACGAAACCGCCACAGAUGAGUCUAAUGUGCAAUCAGGGAAGCCCCUGAUUCUAAGCUCCCAGGUAGUGUCUCUCUUGAGAUUGACUCACGCCCCUUGCUCUGAUUCCAGGCUACCCCUGAUACUUGGCUUCCCAUAAGAAAAUGCACUGAUCUUCUGCUGUGAGCGUUCUGGUCUGCUUUACAAAUUAAAUUAGCCUUACAAACAAUACUUUCUUUUUGCAAAUUAAUAAAUGGAAUUUUGGUUUAUGCAUCAGACACAGUAAUCUUUGUUAACGUAAAUCUGAGGA